AUGGCGCCGAAGGCUAAGAAGGAAGCCCCUGCCCCUCCCAAAGCCGAAGCCAAAGCAAAGGCUUUGAAGGCCAAGAAAGCGGUGCUGAAAGGCGUCCAGUCACAAAAAAAAGAAAAUCCGCACGUCACCUACGUUCCGACGACCCAAGACACUGCGUCUGCGGAGGCAGCCCAAAUAUCCUCGAAAGAGCGCCCCCAGGAGAAACAAGCUUGAUCACUAUGCCAUCAUCAAGUUCCCCCUGACCACUGAGUCAGCCAUGAAAAAAAUAGAAGACAACAACACACUUGUGUUCAUUGUGGAUGUCAAGGCCAAUAAGCACCAGAUCAAACAGGCUGUGAAGAAGCUCUACGACAUUGACGUGGCCAAGGUCAACACCUUGAUCAGGCCUGAUGGAGAGAAGAAGGCAUAUGUUCGACUGGCUCCUGACUAUGAUGCUUUGGAUGUUGCCAACAAAAUUGGAAUCAUCUAAACUGAGUCCAGCUGGCUAAAUCUAAAUUAAAUUUUUUUCACCAA